UACAGAGGUCUCAAGCGUUGUUCGGAUUCAUUGGGCGUAAAGGGUGCGUAGGCGGCGCGGUAAGUCGGGUGUGAAAUUUCGGAGCUUAACUCCGAAACUGCAUUCGAUACUGGCGUGCUUGAGGACUGGAGAGGAGACUGGAAUUCAUGGUGUAGCAGUGAAAUGCGUAGAGAUCAUGAGGAAGACCAGUGGCGAAGGCGGGUCUCUGGACAGUUCCUGACACUGAGACACGAAAGCGUGGGUAGCGAAUGGG
rnacentral:rRNA from 1 species